CGUCACACUCUCUCUAAAAAUCCAGAUCUACGCCUCUCUCUCUAAAAAUCUAGAUCUGGGGUGGAGGCGGUGCGGAGGUGCUUGGCGGUUUCCACGCACCACUCGGCGUCUUCCCGGAGGCCGGCGCGGCCCUUGGUGCUCAAGCUGUACCAGAGGAGAGACGAAAUAAAUUGUCAAUAAAUGAUGCUGAUCUAUCAAGAUUGCUAUUGUUAAAAUUCUGAAAAGAUACAUCACACUAUCACACCAGUAGAUUUUCAUAUGUCGAUCUUGCAUUGGUUCUGAGGUUGCUUAAGACAUGGCCAUUAUCAAUGCUAUUUCCUGUUAUUGAUAUCUUGAGGAUGAUAAUUUUACACCAGAUGGGGCAAAUAUCCUACUCAAACAUGUCAACCACAAUGAUACACUCAUUGAGUUGAACAAGAAGGUGACUGUUAAUCCUCCCCUUCCUGCAAAUCUUCUAACAAGCAUCCAUGCUGUGACUAAUCUCUUCAAGAAUUCAUUGUUUUAUGAUUGGUUAAUAAAACAUCGUGGAGAGUCUUGUAAAUUUCUUGAUGAAAGUUGGUCUCCUACCUUUGAGUCUGGUUUCAGAAGAAGGAUUGAAGUUAUUCCCCGGUCUAUUUGUUAAUGGUAUGGAUUGAGCAUCGGUGCAAAGUUUUCGCCAAUAGUUAGCCUGCUAGCCAUUGUUGUUUUCCCUAUAUUCUACCCAAUUAUUAUUAAGCUGUUACUGACAAUCAAUACCAAGGUAUUCCAUCCAUAUCAGCGUGAUGCAAGGAAAAAAAAAGCAACGAAGAAAUAACUCAAAAGAUUCUAGAUGCUUUCUCGAGCUGUUAUCUAUCCUCAAAUAAAAUAAAAAUGUACAACUUUCUUAUUCGGCAAUGGUACUCAAAAGAAUGAGGAAGGUCAAUCUCAAGUUCUUUCAGCAGCUCUUGAGAUUGCAGAAGAGGAAAGUGUUGAAGCUGAUUCAAAAUUCUGAGUUCUGGUUGCCAUAGGAUCACUUUAGCUU